CUAAAUGAGAAAGAUCUUUAUGACAUAUAGCAAUGGAAGAAAUGGAGGCAGAACUGAGUUGAGGUUACUUAACAUUCUAGAAUGUGCCUACAUUUUCAAAAGGGGCCUUAGAACAUAAACAAGCUGCCCCAGGCCACACAUCUGUGAAGUAGGAAAGUUGAACUGUAAUUCUGAUUCCCACUAUACGAGGCAAAUGUUCACUUUAGCUCCCGACGCCCAAUUCUAGUUCACAAGGAAAAGCCCAUUAGACAAUCACUUAGGGAACUGGUAGGGCUUGAGGAGAACUUGUUCAGAAAACAGCCCCAGAGAGGAAGUAUGCCACGAUAGUAUGCAAAAUGAAUGAGCGCCGUUGGGGACUGCUCUGCUUCUCGCACCCCACCACUCUGGCACCUGCGCUGUACAGACUUGCGCCCCAGCUGUCCCACACUCUCCCAAGGGAAACAGUUCUGCAGAGCCUGAGCCUGGGACUUAAGGAGGGUUUAGGAAACCCAGACUGUGUGGUGCUUAUGAGCAUUCUCUGAAACUCCGCCUCCAAAACCACGUGAAAAUCUAAUGUCAAAGAAACUCUUGCUUAUCAAAGGGAGCAACAAUCCUUUCCAGAGGAAAAUCUUAGCCUCCGGAAAAAUCACAAGAGGAAUCGCAAGUAAGAAAAUUGAACCUCCUGCCCUAAGUGCUAAAAUGUUACAAAAACGAAUAAAUAUUUAAAA